AUUUAUAUGUUAUCCUACGGCUCUUGAUUUGCUUAUAUUUCUCAAGAGUCAAGAGAAGCAAAAGUAAAUAAUAAAAUAUGGUGGCUCAAUACAACGUUGUUGAUGGUGGUUACAGGCUUCGGGUGAUGUUUGGCAUGAUUGUUGCGUCUCUAGCAGUAAUGUCUAUAGUCAUCUUCAAUUGUGGAGAGUCCAGUGAGGACAAGCACAAGUCUCACACUGCUCAUAACGCUAGAACUCAUGGUGCUGCAGCUGCUGCGGGAAUCGCUGCUGCGAACGCCUCCGUGUUAGCUGCUAGCAGCGCCAGCGAUGCGACCGGAGGAGGAGGAGGAGGAGGAGGAGGAGGAGGAGGAGGUGGAGGUGGAUGUUAAACAUCUCAAGGGAGGACGUAUACUAUUUACAUGGUUCACUUGCUUAUGUUUCACUUAAUGUUGUGUUUGUGUCUUCUGUUAUUCUAUGGCUAUGAAUUGCACAUUAAUUUCUGUGUAUCGACUUGCUUUUUAUUCGGGGACCGUUUGAGCUUAGUUCUCGCAGCUGUCUUUUUAGUUGGGAAAUUCUCAUAAUUUCCUUACAGCUUGUUUGGAUGGCUGUUACGUGUUCAUUGUUAUUAAAAUUUUAUUGUAUAAUAUCGUUAAAUUCGUUGUUGUGUAACGAAAAGUGUC
rnacentral:lncRNA from 1 species